AAUUCGAUUAGUUUGAUCAUGGCUCAGGACGAACGCUGGCGGCGUGCUUAACACAUGCAAGUCGAGCGGUAAGGCCCUUCGGGGUACACGAGCGGCGAACGGGUGAGUAACACGUGGGUGACCUGCCCUCCACUCUGGGAUAAGCCUGGGAAACUGGGUCUAAUACCGGAUAUGACCACAUGUCGCAUGGUGUGUGGUGGAAAGCUUUACGUGGUGGGGGAUGGACCCGCGGCCUAUCAGCUUGUUGGUGGGGUAAUGGCCUACCAAGGCGACGACGGGUAGCCGGCCUGAGAGGGCGACCGGCCACACUGGGACUGAGACACGGCCCAGACUCCUACGGGAGGCAGCAGUGGGGAAUAUUGCACAAUGGGCGAAAGCCUGAUGCAGCGACGCCGCGUGAGGGAUGACGGCCUUCGGGUUGUAAACCUCUUUCAGCAGGGACGAAGCGAGAGUGACGGUACCUGCAGAAGAAGCACCGGCCAACUACGUGCCAGCAGCCGCGGUAAUACGUAGGGUGCGAGCGUUGUCCGGAAUUACUGGGCGUAAAGAGCUCGUAGGCGGUUUGUCACGUCGGCUGUGAAAACCCAUCGCUCAACGGUGGGCUUGCAGUCGAUACGGGCUGACUUGAGUACUGCAGGGGAGACUGGAAUUCCUGGUGUAGCGGUGAAAUGCGCAGAUAUCAGGAGGAACACCGGUGGCGAAGGCGGGUCUCUGGGCAGUAACUGACGCUGAGGAGCGAAAGCGUGGGUAGCGAACAGGAUUAGAUACCCUGGUAGUCCACGCCGUAAACGGUGGGUGCUAGGUGUGGGUUUC
rnacentral:rRNA from 1 species